CCUCCUCUUUUUUCUCUUUUCAUUUCUUCUUCCGUGUGAGCGGUUCAUCUUUCAGCCCUCCUCCCCCGCUUCCUUCCCUACCCUUGCAGCCGCCGGCGUCCCCUGCCACUGGGAAAUAGCAGCCUGUGCGGAUCCGGCCGCGGCUGGAACUUUCCCCGGGUGUUGCCCUCGAGCGAGGGGACUCGGACAUGCGGCAGCCGGCGCGGCCAGAUGGCGGUUGUUGGUGGUGGACGAUGAUCGUGGUUGCUGAGGGAGGCCGCCUCUGUAGCAGUGGGGUGUCCUGGUGUGGGCGCCAGGCCCCAUCUGGUUGAGCUCGAUUCGCUUGGUCCGGCCGCGAUUCGGCGGUGCGGCCUCCUUUGCAUCUGUCGGGCGCAACGGUAUGUUGAUGUGGCUGGGAGGCGCAGUGCCGAACGGUGGUGGUGGCGGCACCAGGCGUGACCUUACGCUCAGACACGUCCGCCUAUUCCAGGUAUGUGAUUGUGCUCGCCGUUCUAUUGGUACAUGUUGACCCUCGGGCGCUGUCGUCGGCAGCCUGCUGAGUCUGGUGGCGCCAAGCACCUGGAGUUCUUCGCCAUGGACAUCUCCGCGAGUUCAAACCAGACUCUCCUGCCUACCUUUGUCACCAUGAGCGGCCGCCUGCUGUCGUACGCUUCCAGCUACUACAUAUUAUCAGAAUUUUGCUUCUAAUUGAUGUGAAAAAUAUGUGUGAGCAUUCAGACAAAAGGAUCAGGCAUGUUGUCCACCUUGAAAACAAAAUUAGAAGAAUCAGUAUGUAUGUUGAUGGACAGUUGUUCUGGCAAAAGAUGUUUGACUGACAAACUAAAGCUAGACAUCGGCUGGACAAUCUGGUAUACUUCCUCUUUUAUUGUUAUCCGAUUGGCACAACUGGAAUGCUAGCACUGAAGCAUCUUAAGAUGGUUCUUGUUUUUUUCCUUACAGUGUAUAAGUCAUACAUGCAGCUUUCUUGGUGUGUGGGCGAUGGAAGUGUACAAAAGAACAUGCAGAAAUCAAGAAAUGAUGAUCAGUUCCUUCAGUGGUC